rnacentral:rRNA from 1 species
UAGCCUGCCCACUGAUUUGUUUUAAAGGGCCGCGGUAUAUUGACCGUGCGAAGGUAGCAUAAUCAUUAGUCUUUUAAUUGGAGGCUUGUAUGAAUGGUUGGACAAAAAGUAAGCUGUCUCGGUUAUAAUAAUUGAACUUAACUUUUAAGUGAAAAGGCUUAAAUGUUUCAGGGGGACGAUAAGACCCUAUAAAGCUUGACAAUAAUUUCGUUAUAUUAUAAAUUGUUAGUAUAACUUGAUUUUAACGGGAGUUUGUUUCGUUGGGGCGACGGGAAUAUAAUAAAUAACUGUUCUUUUAAAUAUAAUUACAAAAAUACUUGGUAAAUAAUUGAUCCUCUAUUAGAGAUUAAAAGAUUAAGUUACUUUAGGGAUAACAGCGUAAUCUUCUUUGAGAGUCCACAUCGACAAGAAGGUUUGCGACCUCGAUGUUGAAUUAAGGUAUCCUUAUAAUGCAGCAGUUAUAAAGGA